GCUCGAUUGCAUACCAAGUGGCUCCUUGCCGCAGUUGGGUGUGGCGGCAGGUGGAGGGUAUAUGUGGCGAGGCAGACCUGAGGAAGGCACAGUCCUCCCGCAACCUCCCUGGUAGUCGUGAUGGUCAGCUCUAGCAAGGUGGUUGUGGUGGUGGUGGCGGUAAUGGUGUUAAUAGUGGCACUCUUGACCGAGCCCACCACUGGCAGCCCCUUGCAGCGUCUUGCAUCUCGGUACCCUCGCAGGAAAUUCUACAAAAUUAUCCCUUGGGUGGGUUCCUACCACACAAAGUGCCUUGCUGCUGGAACGGAUAUGACGCUGAAGGAUUUUCAAGGAACGGGAGGGACUUGAGGCACCAGACCCCCGACAUGGGGGACACCGGAGUCAUGUGAUGUUCGGUUGAGCACCACUGCACCAAGACGGCGGAGGACAACAUCAUUCCUGGUGCUCGUGACGGGGACAACUCUCGUUCACGUUUUUUAUAAUUAUGUUAUUUAAGCGUCUUAGAUUUAUAGUGCAACAUUUUUUUACAUGACAACAUUAUUAAACUUGAUCACCAAACAGAA